GAAGCAACAAACGAAUUCAACGGCUUCAACGUCCGUCGAGUUUCUAUUCAGAGCGUUAACGACGACAACACCGUGAAAUAUGCCAGGACAUGACUAGCUGGUUGGAAAUGGCAGCCGGUGUAAAUGGUCUCCUCUCUCUUCUAGAUGACAGCUGGACCAGUCGGGAGACACUUCCGUCUACAAACCCCGCCCCCAUCUUAAGGCAGCAGCCACUGUGUUUCAGGAUUUCCCCCAGACGCCCCGCCCACUAAUACUGAAAACUAACACGCGAUUGGCUUACUGUCGCUGUGCCACGCCCACAGCACCCCUUCUCAAUGAAUGGCACAUGCAUUCAAGACAUUCUCCUCCCAAAUAAGGUGACUUGAAAUCAGUGGGAGGAGUUGUUCUGAGGGAAAUACAUUAAAGAUCCAAUGAAAUCUCUAUCUAA